rnacentral:rRNA from 1 species
GACGAACGCUGGCGGCGUGCUUAACACAUGCAAGUCGAACGGAAAGGCCCUGCUUUUGUGGGGUGCUCGAGUGGCGAACGGGUGAGUAACACGUGAGUAACCUGCCCUUGACUUUGGGAUAACUUCAGGAAACUGGGGCUAAUACCGGAUAGGAGCUCCUGCUGCAUGGUGGGGGUUGGAAAGUUUCGGCGGUUGGGGAUGGACUCGCGGCUUAUCCGCUUGUUGGUGUGGUAGUUGCUUACCAAGGCUUUGACGGGUAGCCGGCCUGAGAGGGUGACCGGCGACAAGGGGACUGAGAGACGGCCCAGACUCCUACGGGAGGCAGCAGGGGGGAAUAUGGCAGAAUGGGCGGAAGCCUGAUGCAGAAACGCCGCGUGCGGGAUGACGGCCUUCGGGUUGUAAACAGCUGUCGCCUGUGACGAAGAGGGAGUGACGGUAAUGGGUAAAGAAGCACCGGCUAACUACGUG